rnacentral:rRNA from 1 species
GAUGAACGCUAGCGGCAGGCUUAACACAUGCAAGUCGAGGGGUAGAGGUUGCUUGCAACCUUGAGACCGGCGCACGGGUGCGUAACGCGUAUGCAACCUACCUUUUACAGAGGGAUAGCCCAGAGAAAUUUGGAUUAAUACCUCAUAGUAUAUAUCUUUCGCAUGUUAGGUAUAUUAAAGUUCCAACGGUAAAAGAUGGGCAUGCGUCCUAUUAGCUAGAUGGUAAGGUAACGGCUUACCAUGGCUACGAUAGGUAGGGGUCCUGAGAGGGAGCACCCCGACAAGUGUACUGGGACACGGACCAGACUCCUACGGGAGGCAACAGUGAGGAAUAUUGGACAAUGGGCGCAAGCCUGAUCCAGCCAUGCCGCGUGCAGGAAGAAGCAUCUAUGGUGCGUAAACUGCUUUUGUACAGGAAGAAACAUCCCGACGUGUCGGGACUUGACGGUACUGUAAGAAUAAGGAUCGGUUAACUCCGUGCCAGCAGCCGCGGUAACAC